rnacentral:pre_miRNA from 1 species
CAACUACUCCCUCUGUCCCAAAUUUCUUGUCUUAGAUUUGUCUAGAUACGGAUGUAUCUAAUACUAAAAUGUGACUUGAUACAUCCGUAUCUAGACAAAUCUAAGACAAGAAUUUUGCGACGGAGGGAGUAAUUU